AGCGAACGCUGGCGGCAGGCUUAACACAUGCAAGUCGAGCGGGCCCUUCGGGGUCAGCGGCAGACGGGUGAGUAACGCGUGGGAACGUGCCCUUCGGUUCGGAAUAACUCAGGGAAACUUGAGCUAAUACCGGAUACGCCCUUUUGGGGAAAGGCUUGACUGCCGAAGGAUCGGCCCGCGUCUGAUUAGCUAGUUGGUGAGGUUACGGCUCACCAAGGCGACGAUCAGUAGCUGGUCUGAGAGGAUGAUCAGCCACACUGGGACUGAGACACGGCCCAGACUCCUACGGGAGGCAGCAGUGGGGAAUAUUGGACAAUGGGGGCAACCCUGAUCCAGCCAUGCCGCGUGAGUGAUGACGGCCUUAGGGUUGUAAAGCUCUUUUCUCCGGGACGAUAAUGACGGUACCGGAGGAAUAAGCCCCGGCUAACUUCGUGCCAGCCGCCGCCGUAACAC
rnacentral:rRNA from 1 species